UGCAUUGCCAGCUGCUCUUUUCCAAUCUCCCUCCUUUAAUAGGCCGCCUUCUUUUCAAUCCUGUUUCUCAAUCCAAGACUCUCAGUCUGCAAAAAGUUUGGGCAUGAAAGAGUGUGGCACAGGUGGUGAACUCUAGCGAAGCUCCGGUCAGAUCUGUCUACUGCCGGCGAGUUCACUCCAAAGACGGAGUCACCAAAAUCAUCAGUUGGAUCGUGCCCAUCACCACGUUUCAGGAUGAAUAACGUCACAGAAACCAAUGAUGAUGAGGCAAAAUGGCCCGAUACGACCGUUGUACAAUUUUUGAGUAGGUGCUAUAGAUGGAACACAUGUCUCAUCUUGGGUACCUGCAUCAAAGCAAAGCACAUUUCGAGGUAGAAAAGGAGGAAUGUUGACCCAAAAUGUCAUGGCGGUUUGCUCGCAUGACAUGAUGUUUACAUUCGUACAUGCGGGUUGGGAAGGAAGUGCGAAUGAUUCUCGCAUAUUCUUAGAUGCAAUUUCAAAGCCUGGAAGUGAUUUUCCUAUGCCACCCGAAGGUUAUUACUACGUUGUUGAUGGUACGUGGUUACCCAAAUGCACCCGGUUUGUUGACACCAUACCGCGGGGAGCGUUAUCACUUGAAUGACUUUCGUGGACAAGGGCGGAUACGAAAUAAGCAAGCCCUAUUUAAUUGUCGAUAUUCAUCAUUGCGGAAUGUGAUUGAGCGGUGUUUUGGACUUUUAAAGGCAAGAUUUCCCAUUCUAAAGUCCAUUAAUGGUUACCCAUCGAUUAGACAAAGACAAAUUCCUCUUGCAUGUUGUGCAUUUAUAAUUUCAUUCGGUUGGAAGAUAGGGAUGAUCAAUUAGGUAUGAUGUAUGGAGCGCAAGACAUGGUUUUGGAUUAUGGUGGAAGUAGUAGUGAUGGUAGAAAUGAUACCAUACAAUUAGAUAUGAAUCAACAAGACCAAAUGCUACAAUUGCGUGAGGACAUUGCAAAUGCACUUUGGGCAAAUUAUAAUCAUUAAUGGUGUACUCAAUUUUAUUUGUAAUAUUUUGUAAUCACAUUUUGUCACGAAACAACUUAUUUUAAA